GAUGAACGCUAGCUACAGGCUUAACACAUGCAAGUCGAGGGGCAGCACUAGGUAGCAAUACUGAGGUGGCGACCGGCGCACGGGUGCGUAACGCGUAUCCAACCUUCCCGUUACUCUUGGAUAGCCUUCCGAAAGGGAGAUUAAUACAAGAUGGUAUUCAAAUUCCGCAUGUUAUUUGAAUUAAAGAUUUAUCGGUAACGGAUGGGGAUGCGUUUCAUUAGGUAGUAGGUGGGGUAACGGCCCACCUAGCCGACGAUGAAUAGGGGUUCUGAGAGGAAGGUCCCCCACACUGGAACUGAGACACGGUCCAGACUCCUACGGGAGGCAGCAGUGAGGAAUAUUGGUCAAUGGGCGCAAGCCUGAACCAGCCAAGUAGCGUGAAGGAUGACUGCCCUAUGGGUUGUAAACUUCUUUUAUAUGGGAACAAAUGUAGUUACGUGUAGCUAUUUGCGUGUACCAUAUGAAUAAGCAUCGGCUAACUCCGUG
rnacentral:rRNA from 1 species